ensembl:snoRNA
AUGCAUUGUAAACUGAGUGGAACACCUUUUCACCGGUACUCCAGAAUCAGUCCAGUGCUAGAAAAACCUCAGUUAGCAGAAGGGCUGUGCUAAACUAUUGGUGCCUCCCUUUCGAAGGCUGAGAACAGAU